rnacentral:rRNA from 1 species
GUCUGAUUUCAUAAGCUAAGCGAGUUUGAUCUGCUUUGUAUUUGGAUGGGAGACCACUCGGAAAUAUCAAAUGGGAUAAGGCU